rnacentral:rRNA from 1 species
UACGAAGGGGGCUAGCGUUGCUCGGAAUUACUGGGCGUAAAGGGCGCGUAGGCGGACAGUUAAGUCAGAGGUGAAAGCCCAGGGCUCAACCCUGGAAUUGCCUUUGAUACUGGCUGUCUUGAGUAUGGGAGAGGUGAGUGGAACUCCGAGUGUAGAGGUGAAAUUCGUAGAUAUUCGGAAGAACACCAGUGGCGAAGGCGACUCACUGGCCCAUUACUGACGCUGAGGCGCGAAAGCGUGGGGAGCAAACAGGAUGAGAAAC